GACGAACGCUGGCGGCGUGCUUAACACAUGCAAGUCGAACGGAAAGGCCCUGCUUUUGUGGGGUGCUCGAGUGGCGAACGGGUGAGUAACACGUGAGUAAACUGCCCUUGACUUUGGGAUAACUUCAGGAAACUGGGGCUAAUACCGGAUAGGAGCUCCUGCUGCAUGGUGGGGGUUGGAAAGUUUCGGCGGUUGGGGAUGGACUCGCGGCUUAUCAGCUUGUUGGGGGGGUAGGGGCUUACCAAGGCUUUGACGGGUAGCCGGCCUGAGAGGGUGACCGGCCACAUUGGGACUGAGAUACGGCCCAGACUCCUACGGGAGGCAGCAGUGGGGAAUAUUGCACAAUGGGCGGAAGCCUGAUGCAGCAACGCCGCGUGCGGGAUGCCGGCCUUCGGGUUGUAAACCGCUUUCGCCUGUGACGAAGCGUGAGUGACGGUAAUGGGUAAAGAAGCACCGGCUAACUACGUG
rnacentral:rRNA from 1 species